rnacentral:rRNA from 1 species
GACGAACGCUGGCGGCGUGCCUAAUACAUGCAAGUAGAACGCUGAAGAGAGGAGCUUGCUCUUCUUGGAUGAGUUGCGAACGGGUGAGUAACGCGUAGGUAACCUGCCUUGUAGCGGGGGAUAACUAUUGGAAACGAUAGCUAAUACCGCAUAACAAUGGAUGACACAUGUCAUUUAUUUGAAAGGGGCAAUUGCUCCACUACAAGAUGGACCUGCGUUGUAUUAGCUAGUAGGGGAGGUAAUGGCUCACCUAGGCGACGAUACAUAGCCGACCUGAGAGGGUGAUCGGCCCCACUGGGACUGAGACACGGCCCCGACUCCUACGGGGGGCAGCAGUAGGGAAUCUUCGGCAAUGGGGGCAACCCUGACCGAGCAACGCCGCGUGAGUGAAGAAGGUUUUCGGAUCGUAAAGCUCUGUUGUAAGUGAAGAGCGGGUGUGAGAGUGGAAAGUUCACACUGUGACGGUAGCUUAACAGAAAGGGACGGCUAACUACGUG